GCGAUAAGCAUCCUCCUCCUCUGAGGUGUCCAGAUAGUAGGAGCGUUGUGGUAACGCAGGGAUCUUGGAUAGAGAGCGAGCACGGACCAUCCUGUGCUCAGAAUACAUGCCAUCAUCUAAACAGGGGGAAAGUGAUAGCUGACCUGGUCGUGAGAAACGAUCCAGACUCUUCCUUCGACUCAUGCGGUGGUGAUGGUGAUGGUACAUGUCAGCGCUGUAUUCCAAAUCAUUCCGCAGCACUCCACGUUCAUCUUGUACAUACUACUAAGAACCGGAGGUCCCAGCAGCUUCCUAAUUGAAUCUGGAGCGUAUCCAGCUCACUACAAUGCAGGACUCCUGUCUCCGAUCUCGUGUCGGCAAGAUAUUGUUUUAUGGAAUGUCUGUGCCAAGGAUGACCUCAUCGGGAUGAUAAGAUCUACCAGCUUGGUUGGAUUGUGUUCAUUGAGCCGCUCACAAAGAAUUUUCAUUAGCAAAGUCAAGAGAUCAAAGGGCACGAGUGGAAGGCCACCAGACUUACUGCCUGAAUGAGUGACUAAAAAUAUACGCAGUAUUUCCUUGACCUGACUUGUGUUUAGUGACAGGGUAUGGAAAACGAUCUGUGGGGAAAAGCUCUCCAAAAUUAAUAGAAAAAUACAGAACAAUGAAAACAUGCUCUGUCUAAGGAGAAAUUCAACAACAUUAAUCUUUCUUUUAAAAACAAUGCUCAUGCUAGAUUCAUCAUUCAAGUUAAUAUAGUCUUCAUUAAAAUAAAACACAGUUUGUGGGGAAAUUCCUAGACAGCAAAGUGCUGUUUUGAGUACCAAGCAGAUUUUCUGAGCCAAAGCUACAAAUUUGGUUCUUAGCCAAUACUCCACAUUAGUUCAGAGCUGAAGUGCUUUUAAUUGGGGUUUGUUUCAUCCUGUGUGGGAUUGCAGGUCAAUGGCAGGUCAACAGCACUGCAAUUAAACCUUUUACUUGGGCAAAAUGUUGGAAAUGGAAGAGAAAAAACUUAAGGAUAUACUGCUGCUAUAUGACCCCUCAUAAUUGUUCCUUAAAACUCUUUUCUCAGAAGCGUUUACGUGUGUUCUGUGAGCUUUGCUUUGAAGUGAGCUAGAGACGAAGGCAAAAAUGUAAUAGCGAGGAAAAGCUUUAUUGUCUCUGAUUGACUCGGCGGUCGCUUGUUUGCUGAUUGCAAUCUCAGCCACAAUGCAGGCCAGGUUGUCUGGACGGCAGAGGAGCGAGACAGGCGUGUGUUUUCACUGUCCUCUCCCUUCCUGGGCUUUGAGGCUUGCUUGGCUCAGUGUACACACCACAGGAGGAGCAAACAAGGCUUCCUCUCCUGAUUCCUGAGCAUUAAUUCGCAUCCCAAAUCCCUUGCUGCAGUUUUACUAUCAUGUCUGAAUUUGCUUGUUUGGGCCUUUUGGAAGCUUUCCAAACCACAAAAACAGAUUUGAAAGUGUCUGUACAUAAGACGUCUUUCUAAAGGGAGAUCAUUUACACUGUUUCUGUCCAAACACCAGAAAAGAACAUUGCUAAAUGUGAUAUUUUUGUUUUGAUGUUUGGUCAUGUUGCUGGUUUAUAGCACUGAUGGUAUGCAGGCUACACUGAAAUACCCUGAGAGCCUGAGAUUUAUGCAGGACAUUACUGUUUAGAGGACUGCCGAGACACUGGACACCAUUUUCUCUCAAAAAGGAAUGUUUUCCUUUGACUUUUUUAUUUGUUUCACCUUGAACUCUGCUCUUGCAGCUAAUUAGAGAUUGAAAUUAGGACAUUUGUUUGAAUGUCCAAAAAAAAAGCAACAUGUUUAAGCACAUAAUGUCUUCCUAUUGUUUUAUUUUUUUAUACCUCAGUGAUUUGCCAGUGCUUACAGUUUUUAUUUAUCAAUGAAUUACACUUUGUAAAUGUCCGACAUGUGAAUGAUUCCCUGUGAAUCAGGUAUUACUACAGAAAAAAAGCAAAAUGUUAGAAAUUAGUGCAUUUAUAAUGUAAAUAUCAUUUUCUCUCAGACUUCUGCUUUUACAUAUUCCUUUUAAUUACUUUCAGAAUCAAGGAUUCAAAAACACAUCAAAUCUCUGGUUAUUUCCUGAAUAUGGCAAGAUAAUUCUUGCAACAUAUACUGACACAGUUUCUGUCCUCCAGCUAAUUACAUCUAAAUCAUGGAUCUCAGUUCCAUGGAUAAUGAUCUUUGACAAACAAAACAGCAGUUAAACGUGUGGGAUUUAUUGCCAGGUGAGGGAAUCACGCUGGGACUGAAACAAAGCCAGGUCAGUCAGUGUUAAUUUUAAGUGCAGGCUGCGGUCACGUAUGUUAGCACGCAAUCAAGCGCUUAAUGAAUUGGAGGAAAUAAGAGCAGUGACCUUCUAUCCAUUUAUUCAGCCCUCAAGCAUGAUCUAGUCACCAGGCAGCAAGUUUCUACAAUAUAGGAAUGCAAUAUUAAGUCAAUUAGGAGUACAGUCAGUGAGAAAUAUAAAAAUAGUGCCAAUUGCCCAGUGACUAGUAAUUUGUCAUGAAUUCAAGUUUAAUCUAUGUGCAUGAAACCUGGUGUGCAUACAACAUCACUACAUCUUUAAUGCUCUCAAGAGUCUAUAUAUAUAUAUUAGAGUCUGUAUAUAAUCCUCCUUAGGCUUAAAGCCAAGAUACAAUCAAAGAUAUAGAUAUGGAAUAUAGUGCUGUGUAUCCUGUAUGCACUUGGCCAGUAGUCCUACAGGAUUAAACCAUGUCUUUAGUCCAGAUUUCUCCAAAUCAAAAGGGAUGUAAAGCAUGUAGAAAAAAUGGAUCAAGGCAUGCAUGAACAAGUGUUAUGUGUUACGGUUCUCAUCACGUCUCAUCACUAUACAGCUCUAAUUUCACUGAGCUCAAUGAUGGGCUGCUGAUAAAUAACAUAUAAUGACAGAUUGGGUUUAAAAAUUGUUAUUUUUUAAAAAGUGAAGUGUCAAAAAUGCUCAGAGUCAGUUUUCUAGGUUUUAGCCACUGCACCAGGUUUGGCCUUGACAUUGGAAAGUUCGAUCCCCAGCAGUUCAAGGAUACGGAUAGAAGCUGAGAUAACGAACAUUGCAGAACUGGAACUGUCUAUUUGCACUAUUUGUGUCUGACUUACAAUAAAAUAUUUACAAAAUCCAGAAGACUGAAGAAUGUUUCUGUAAUCUUUUACAGAUUUGAUAUUUGUGGUUUUCAUUCAUCAGGUUAUUUUGUUCUGCU